rnacentral:rRNA from 1 species
UCUACGGGAGGCAGCAGUGGGGAAUAUUGGACAAUGGGCGAAAGCCUGAUCCAGCCAUGCCGCGUGUGUGAAGAAGGUCUUCGGAUUGUAAAGCACUUUAAGUUGGGAGGAAGGGCAUUAACCUAAUACGUUAGUGUUUUGACGUUACCGACAGAAUAAGCACCGGCUAACUUCGUGCCAGCAGCCGCGGUAAUA